GAGCGGAAAGGCCCACUUGUGGGUACUCGAGCGGCGAACGGGUGAGUAACACGUGAGUAAUCUGCCCCUCACUCUGGGAUAACUGCCUGAAAGGGUGGCUAAUACUGGAUGUGACUGACUGCUGCAUGGUGGUUGGUGGAAAGAUUUUUUGGUGGGGGAUGUGCUCGCGGCCUAUCAGCUUGUUGGUGGGGUAAUGGCCUACCAAGGCUUCGACGGGUAGCCGGCCUGAGAGGGUGACCGGCCACACUGGGACUGAGACACGGCCCAGACUCCUACGGGAGGCAGCAGUGGGGAAUAUUGGACAAUGGGCGGAAGCCUGAUCCAGCAACGCCGCGUGAGGGAUGACGGCCUUCGGGUUGUAAACCUCUUUCAGCACAGACGAAGCGCCCUUUCGGGUUUGUGACGGUAUGUGCAGAAGAAGCACCGGCCAACUACGUGCCAGCAGCCACGGUAACACGUAGGGUGCGAGCGUUGUCCGGAAUUAUUGGGCGUAAAGGGCUCGUAGGCGGUUUGUCGCGUCGGGAGUGAAAUCCACUGGCUUAACUGGUGGCUUGCUUUCGAUACGGGCAGACUGGAGGUAUGCAGGGGAGAACGGAAUUCCUGGUGUAGCGGUGAAAUGCGCAGAUAUCAGGAGGAACACCGGUGGCGAAGGCGGUUCUCUGGGCAUGUCCUGACGCUGAGGAGCGAAAGUGUGGGGAGCGAACAGGAUUAGAUACCCUGGUAGUCCACACCGUAAACGUUGGGCGCUAGGUGUGGGAUCCAUUCCACGGGUUCCGUGCCGCAGCUAACGCAUUAAGCACCCCGCCUGGGGAGUACGGCCGCAAGGCUAAAACUCAAAGGAAUUGACGGAAUCGAAUU
rnacentral:rRNA from 1 species